GAAGUUCGCUAGGCAGUCGCUGGAUGUCGUUGCAAGACGAUGUCUGGAGGAAAGUCCGGGCCCCGUAGAGCGAGAUGCCGGUUAACGGCCGGGCGCAGCAAGUUGAUUAGCGCAAGCUGAUUGACCCAAGGCGACAGACAGUGCAACAGAAAGAUACCGCCUAAGUCCGCGAGGACUGGCAAGGGUGAAAUGGUGGGGUAAGAGCCCACCGCGUUUCUGGCAACAGAAAUGGCAUGGCAAACCUCAUCUGGGGCAAGGCCAAAUAGGGGAGCGCUAACGUGGCUCGCGUUGCUCCCGGGUAGGCUGCUAGAGGUCGCUGGUAACAGCGAUCCCAGAGGAAUGACUGCUCACGACAGAACCCGGCUUAUCGGCGAACUUCCCAC
rnacentral:RNase_P_RNA from 1 species